AUGCCGUGAUGAGGGCAAUUUCUUUGAAUCUAUCCCAAGCGUCCGAGAAACUUUCAUCAUCUUCUUGCUCAAAUCCAUGUAUCUUGCUUCGCAAGCGA
rnacentral:snoRNA from 1 species